UCCAUGUCAGUGGGGAAUGCUCACCUGGAGAUCAGACAUCCCUAGAUGGGGCUGGGGGCCCCCUGCACUCUUUCCUGCUGAUGUUGAGGUGGAGGGCCCAGCCCAGGAGAGGAUGCAUGGAUGUGGGUCCAGCCUUUUAGCCUGGCUCUUAGCUCACAAUCCCGAAGGCAGGGGAGGGGCUGAGGAGCCUUUGGAUAGAGGCACCGGGGCCUCAAUUUACAGAUCUCGCAGUGGGCGGCGAGGGGUGGGGCAUUGUGGACUCUCAAAGGAGGUACCUGCUUUCUUCUUCCCCUUGAACCUGGAUGGAGGCAUUAUUCACAGAGGAUUUCUGCGAGGUGCAGAGACCCCGCUGCUGAGUGCCUGGGGUUGGAGGUGGGCUGGGAGUGAGUUGAAGACUGUGAAAAGCAGGCUGGGGUCCACAUCAUGAAGAGCCCAGUGACUGUCAGCUCCAAGCAGGCAACACUGGAAUUCCUGAAUCAACCUCAGAUUGGCACGGCACCUCUGAAGACCGCUUCAACACCAACCUGACAUGAGACAGGAAAACAGUUCCUCUUGGAAAAUGACCCACCAACUUGCUGGGGGCAGAAGGCUCUUCCUUCUCCAGUGUUUUGACUUAAGGGAGGAAGAGCUGGAGGUGAAGGAAAGCACUAGCCAAUCCUUUGAAACAGAAUGUCAUUUGUCUCCUAAAGGAUUCUGGGAGCUUGGCCACCAGUGAAGUGACAUAAGAGGGAGGGCCUACUAGGAGGUCCUGAGUCUCCUAGGCACUGCCCUCAGGAGGGAGAUCGACGUGAAGACUGAAACAGGAUUCGAUGUUGUAAAAGCCUGGGCCUGACACCUGAAUCUCUAGCCCUCUGUUUGAAGAUGCGUCUGUUCUCCCACGCAUGCCCUGCUCUGAUUAGAUGUGACUAGAGAAUUCUCCCCAGAGCUGAGCUGCACCAGCACCAUGCCCUUGACCCUCUAAACCUGUGCACAAAAUAAACAUCACUCUAGGGUUAA